GCUGAAUAUCACAGAGAGCAAAGGAGCCUGAGAUGAUACAAAGGCUCAGGAAAAACUCUCCAAAAACAGAGGGACAGUUCACACCUCAUCAGGGCAUGUAUGGGACAAACCCAGCCCAGCCUUACAGGAACAAAGGACGCUGGCCUAGGCAACAACAAAGGAUCUGUUGGACUCUCGAACAUCACCACGAGCGACUGAAGCGCUGAUCAAAGGGAAGAGCCUGGCUGAAGGGCAACCAGCCAGCCUGUGGUGAGAAGCAUCUGAGUUUGUAAGGGCA